GACAUAGGUGGCGAGCGUUAUUUGGAAUUACUAGGCGUAAAGCGAGUGUAGGCGGGCGCUUAAGUCCGUUGUGAAAUCUCCCGGCUUAACUGGGAGGGGUCAAUGGAUACUGGGCGUCUUGAGUGAGGUAGGGGGCAGUGGAAUUCCCGGUGUAGCGGUGAAAUGCGUAGAGAUCGGGAGGAACACCUGUGGCGAAGGCGGCCCCCUGGGCCGCGCCUGACGCUGAGACGCGAAGGCUAGGGGAGCGAACGGG
rnacentral:rRNA from 1 species